UUAUAACUUCAGCAGAGCCAAAAGCCCGCAGAUGGUGAGCUGUGUUGUCUGAGCAUCAGGAGCUAUCAGAACUGCAGCUGUUUGAAAUAUCAGUCACACAGUCCUGGGCUCUGCACUGAAGGAUAUUCAGGAAGCACGCAACAAAGGACAGAGUAACAAGUACAUGGUGUACAUGCUGAUCCUAGGCAGGUGACACUGCUACAGCUUUACAGAGAAAUAGAUGAAGACCUGUAGAGAGAGUGGUGAGGCAGUUCACAACCAAGCCUCUAUGAUAACAAUGCCUGCAAGUAAAUAACCAUUCUGUAUAAUUUUACUCCUGCAUUUAUUCAAUAUGAGACUUCUCUAUGAGUAAUAGAACGUACUUGUAAGUGAAAAAAUAACCACUGGGGUUUCUUGCCAGGGGUAUUUUUAACUUCUGUCCCUGUCCUAAUGUAGUUCACAGUAAUCAAACCUCAUCUGAGCAUGGCUGGGAGCAUGGAGCAGGAAAUGGGCAGAUGGGGCAGAAAUUGCUUAAGACAAGAUAAUCAAAAGAAACGUCCAUCUGAUAAGAGCUACAGGAGAUUUUUUUCUCAGAAGAAUUUUUUUCUCUCAUUGCCCAGUGAAUGCUUGCUAGUCUCAGAGCUCAUUCCACAUCUCCUUUGGCAGUGUCGAUUGGAGACCUGGCAGUAGGGCACUAGUAGAGAUGGCUAGGAAUGGUAAGGUGUACAAAAAG
ensembl:lncRNA